UAGGGAAUCUUCCGCAAUGGACGCAAGUCUGACGGAGCAACGCCGCGUGAGUGAAGAAGGAUUUCGGUUCGUAAAACUCUGUUGUUAGAGAAGAACAGCGCAUAGAGUAACUGUUAUGCGUGUGACGGUAUCUAACCAGAAAGCCACGGCUAACUACGUGCCAGCAGCCGCGGUAAUACGUAGGUGGCAAGCGUUGUCCGGAUUUAUUGGGCGUAAAGCGAGCGCAGGCGGUCAAUUAAGUCUGAUGUGAAAGCCCCCGGCUCAACCGGGGAGGGUCAUUGGAAACUGGUUGACUUGAGUGCAGAAGAGGAGAGUGGAAUUCCAUGUGUAGCGGUGAAUUGCGUAGAUAUAUGGAGGAACACCAGUAGCGAAGGCGACUCUCUGGUCUGUAACUGACGCUGAGGCUCGAAAGCGUGGGUAGCAAACAG
rnacentral:rRNA from 1 species